rnacentral:rRNA from 1 species
UACGAAGGGGGCUAGCGUUGCUCGGAAUGACUGGGCGUAAAGGGCGCGUAGGCGGAUGGCACAGUCAGAUGUGAAAUUCCCGGGCUUAACCUGGGGGCUGCAUUUGAUACGUGUUGUCUAGAGUGAGGAAGAGGGUUGUGGAAUUCCCAGUGUAGAGGUGAAAUUCGUAGAUAUUGGGAAGAACACCGGUGGCGAAGGCGGCCAACUGGACCACAACUGACGCUGAGGCGCGAAAGCGUGGGGAGCAAACAGG